UUGGAGAAGUUCGGUUUACGCGCCGCGUUUUUACGGUGUUGUUGCCGGGGGCCGAAGGGGCAAGCCAAUUUUUGGUGAAACUCUCAGGCAAAAGGACAAAGU
rnacentral:ncRNA from 1 species